rnacentral:rRNA from 1 species
GUAAUAUAUAGUUAACGUGCCUCUUAGCCUGGGAUAGCCACUGGAAACGGUGAUUAAUACUGGAUACUCCUUCUAACUUAAUGUUAGUCGGGAAAGGUUUUUCGCUAAGAGAUCGGACUAUAUUGUAUCAGCUAGUUGGGGAGGUAAUGGCUCACCAAGGCAAUGACACAUAGCGGGUUUGAGAGGAUGAUCCGCCACACUGGUACUGAGACACGGACCAGACUCCUACGGGAGGCAGCAGUGAGGAAUAUUGCACAAUGGGGGAAACCCUGAUGCAGCAACGCCGCGUGGAGGAUGACGCAUUUCGGUGUGUAAACUCCUUUUAUAAGAGAAGAAAAUGACGGUAUCUUAUGAAUAAGUCCCGGCUAACUCCGUGCCAGCAGCCGCGGUAAUACGGAGGGGACAAGCGUUAUUCGGAAUCACUGGGCGUAAAGGACGCGUAGGCGGGUUAUUAAGUCGGGUGUGAAAUCCAAUGGCUCAACCAUUGAACUGCAUUCGAAACUGGUGACCUAGAGUAUGGAAGGGGCAGGUGGAAUUAGUGGUGUAGGGGUAAAAUCCGUAGAUAUCACUAGGAAUACCGAAAGCGAAGGCGACCUGCUGGGACAUUACUGACGCUGAGGCGUGAAAGCGUGGGGAGCAAACAGGAUUAGAUACCCUGGUAGUCCACGCCCUAAACGAUGAAUGCUAGUCGUCGGGGAGCUUGUCUCUUCGGUGAUGCACUUAACAGAUUAAGCAUUCCGCCUGGGGAGUACGGUCGCAAGAUUAAAACUCAAAGGAAUAGACGGGGACCCGCACAAGUGGUGGAGCAUGUGGUUUAAUUCGAAGAUACGCGAAGAACCUUACCUAGCCUUGACAUUGAUUGAAUCUUUCAGAGAUGAGAGAGUGCCUUUCGGGGAACAUGAAAACAGGUGCUGCACGGCUGUCGUCAGCUCGUGUCGUGAGAUGUUGGGUUAAGUCCCGCAACGAGCGC